ACACCGUUGGUGAAGUGGUUAUCAUGCUUGCCUUCCACUGUUUGGUUACAGCAAGCGGCUCGGGUUCGAUUCCCGAACGGUGUA